UGUACUUUUAAAGCUCGUGCACGAGCCUGUGCUAUGUGCGCGCGGGCAAAGCGUGGAUUUAUAUUGAAUUGUAAAACACCGCACUUGCGCGGAUGCAGCAUAGGAGUCUGCUCGUUGGUUUCAGGUGUCUGGCCAUCGCCUUCCAUUCGCCCCGCGCCCGAUGCUGCCAUAGUCAUCUCCCACACUGACUGGAUACAUGAAGACUUUCCCGUAAACGACAUCUCCCCCGCUAUAACGGGCCGGAAGAUCAUUACUGCGUUGACGUGUUGAUAUACAUGUAUUUAAAAUAUCAAAUAUGAAUCAUGCAUUUGAUAUUUCUAGCAAAUUUGCUCGUGAGCAUCCUUGCAGCCGGACUCCAUUCAUCCAUAGCAUCAAUCGGAGGAGAGAAUGAGGUGGUGGAGAGAGACGCAGAACCAUUAUUGUCGGAGCGAGAGGCAACUGCAGCAGCGGCCACAGACAACACAAGUCACAGUGCGGCUGAGCAUGUGAUCACUUACCCCUCUCGGCUCAUCUAUUACCUGAAGGAGGACUCAGAGAGCACUUACCAUGACCUGGACACCCGGGCUAGAAACCAGGGCACAGAGGGUCAUGACCAGGCAGUCCAUCUUGCCCAAGCCAGUUUCCAGUUAGAUGCCUUUGGCUCCAAAUUUGUACUGGACCUAACGUUAAACAAUAACUUGUUGUCGUCGGAUUAUGUGGAGAUCCACUAUGAGGAGGGUAAACCUGUUCUAUCAAAGGGUGGUGAGCACUGUUACUACCACGGCCAGGUGAGGGGGAAAGAUGAUUCCCACGUGGCCUUGUCUACCUGCAAUGGGCUGCACGGAAUGUUUGACGAUGGACUCUAUCUCUAUAUAAUGGAGCCUUUGCAACAGACUCACUCAAUUGAUACAGCCGCACGGCCCCACUCACUGCGCAGGAUGCCCAGCCUCCAGUGGAACAGUGACUCAGAGGAACUGGUGAAGGACGAGCGGCUGCUUUCGGAGCUGGACGACAUGUCUUGGCUGAAGCGCAGGAAAAAGCGGGCUAUGCCUAGGAAUGUAUUUGAGGAGAUGAAGUAUUUGGAGAUUAUGAUCGUCAGUGACCAUAAUAUGUAUAAGCGACUCAAGACCAAGCAGCACACCAGGAACUCUGCCAAGUCAGUGGUGAACCUUGUUGAUGCUAUCUUUAAGGAGCACCUGCACACACGGGUGGUUCUGGUUGCCGUAGAGAUCUGGUCGGACAAGGACCCGAUUCCCAUCAGUGUGAAGCCUCUGGACAUGCUGAAAGAUUUCUCUAAAUACCGGGCGCAGAGCAUCAAGCAGCAUACUGACGCUGUGCACCUCUUCUCCAAUGUGACCUUCCACUAUCGCCGAAGCAGUGUAGCGUACUUCGGGGGCAUGUGCUCUGUGAGCCGUGGAGUAGGGGUCAACGAGUAUGGCACCACAUGGACUAUGGCUUCGUCACUCUCCCAGAGCUUGGCACAGAACCUCGGCAUCCAGUGGGAUCCAGCCGCAAAGAGAAAGGAAUGCGGCUGCUCUGAUUCCUGGGUGGGCUGCAUCAUGGAGGACACUGGGGUCCAGCAUCCCCGGAAGUUCUCCAAGUGCAGCAUCUCAGACUACAAGGCGUUCCUGCUGAAGGGCGGUGGAUCAUGUCUCUAUAACAGGCCGACCAAGCUGUUUGAAUCUACAGAGUGUGGGAAUGGAUACAUUGAGGUGGGAGAGGAGUGUGACUGCGGAGAUAGAACAGAGUGCUACAAGGACUGCUGUAAGAAGUGUUCCCUAGCUAAUGGUGCACAUUGCGCUGACGGACCUUGCUGCAACAACACUUGUCUGUUCUACCCACGUGGUUACAGUUGUCGCUAUGCGGUGAAUGACUGUGACAUCUCAGAGACAUGCUCAGGAGACUCUGGCCAGUGCCCUCCCAACCUCCACAAACAAGAUGGCUACCAAUGUCAAGUCGACCAGGGACGCUGCUACAGCGGAGAGUGCAAGACCAGAGGAAACCAGUGCAAAUAUCUCUGGGGCCCAAAGGCGGGAGCGUCUGAGAAGUUCUGCUACGAGAAGCUAAACACAGAAGGAACCGAGAAGGGUAACUGUGGAAAGGAUGGAGAUAAGUGGCUCCAGUGCAGCAAGCAUGAUGUGUUCUGUGGGUUCCUGCUGUGCAGUAAUAUCGGACACAACCCCCGCAUCGGCACGAUGAAGGGAGACAUCACUCGUACCUCCUUCCACCAUCAGGGCAGGCCGGUGAACUGCAGUGGUGGCCAUGUUCUUUUGGACGAUGAGACUGACUUAGGCUACGUGGAGGACGGAGCGCCCUGUGGGCCGUCCAUGAUGUGCCUUGACCACAAGUGUCUGCCCAUCCAGUCCCUCAACAUGAGCACCUGCCCCAGCGGGCCCAACGGCCAGGUGUGCUCAUCCCACGGGGUGUGUAACAACGAGGCGACGUGCACCUGUGACACCACCUGGGCGGGGACUGACUGCAGCAUGCCCGACCCUCCCAAGGAGCCUGCACCCACAGAAGACGAAGAACCAAAAGGUCCUAGUGCCACCAAUCUUAUAAUAGGCUCCAUCGCCGGUGCCAUCCUGGUGGCUGCCAUAGUGCUGGGGGGGACCGGAUGGGGCUUUAAGGUUCGAGGGUGAGAGUUUAAGCGGAAGUGGUGAGAGAGAAGCCAGGGCCAUAUUGUUGGCCGCAGCCUUUGUGUCAUGGCUGGCCACACCCACCUGGAUGGCCAGGCUCCGCCCUAGAGCAGAGCAGGACUCCCGGACCCGCCCACAACAGCUGCCAUUGCUGCCUGCUUCACAGACCUGGUACACACACGGCGCAUUGUACUGCAUGACCCACCACGCACAUCAAUAGAGCCAUCUCCAACUGGCCUACUAUUGAAACAGAAAUGUGAAGAAGCGAAAGUACGACCCCAACGCCAGCGCCAUAUAAGGUUGGAGGAGAGGUCAGCGGGCACAGAGGAAACCUUCUGGGCUUCCUUAGUACUCUACAGCUGGACUUACUGCGGAGGAUUUUUUGGGCAUUAGAUUUACUUGAAAAAUACAUAGAGGACAAUUUAACAUUAUCCAUCUUAGUCAUGUAGAGAUGUAGCCUUUUUCAACCCUAACAACCCACCUAGCAACCUCACCCACCUACCUAGCAACCCACCUAACAACCUCACCCACCUACCUAACAACCCAGCUAACAACCCCACCAACCUAUCUAACAACCCAUCUAACAGUCCCACCCACCUAACAACCUCACCCACCUACCUAACAACCCACCUAACAACCCCACCCACCCACCUAACAACCACACCCACCCACCUAACAACCACACCUACCCACCUAACAACCCCACUCAUCUACCUAACAACCCCACUCAUCUACCUAACAACCCCACCCACCUAACAACCCCUCCACCCACCUAACUACCCCACCCUCCUCCCUAACAACCCCACCCACCUACUUAACAACAACACUCACCUACCUAACAACCCCACCUACCUAACAACCCCACCUACCUAACAACCCCACCCACAUACCUAACAACCCCACUCACCUACCUAACAACCCCACACAUCUACCUAACAACCCCACUCACCUAACUAACAACUCCAUCCACUCACCUAACAACCACACCCACCCACCUAACAACCCCGCUCACCUAACAACCACACCCACCCACCUAACAACCCCACCUACCUAACAACCCCACUCACCUACCUAACAGCCCCACCCACCUAACAACCCCGCCCACCUCCCUAACAACCCCACCCACCUACCUAACAACCCCACUCACCUACCUAACAACCCCACUCAUCUACCUAACAACCCCACCCACCUACCUAACAACCCCACCCACAUAACGAACAACCCCACUCACCUACCUAACAACCCCACUCAUCUACCUAAGAACCCCACUCACCUACCUAACAACCCCACUCAUCUACCUAACAACCCCACUCACCUAACUAACAACUCCACCCACACACCUAACAACCCCGCUCACCUAACAACCACACCCACCCACCUAACAACCCCACCCACCCACCUAACAACCCCACUCACCUAACAACCCCACCAAUGGCGGACUGGCCGUCAGGAGCCCCGGGACAUUCCUGGUGGCCUGAGGGUCGUUUGGGACUGCUGUGAAUAGUCAACUUGACCAGCGAUAAAAUAGCAAGCAGGAAUUAGUUGACGGAGAAUCCACGAAUCAGGCGCGACUCUCACACUCUUGCUGCAGUGUCCCAGUGCCAAAAAUGACCUCAGGUCUCUCCACGUCACACAUAGCAACCGUCUACCUGCUUCUCUACCGAUAACAUUUUAGAUAAGUCGCACGGCAAAAUGGUCAGAAAGGGAAAAGUGGAGCAGAGAGGGAGAGAAUAAAAAACAGAAAGGCCUUUGCCACAGUCAAAAACACUAGCUAAAACACACACACACUGACACAAACACGUCACCCAGCAUGGCUAGCUAAGUAGCCUAGCUAAAAGUAGUGACACAAUGGCAGGUAGGCUAAACAGUUUGCACGUCUUACAUCUUCGUGGAGGAAUUAUAUCAUAGCAAUGAAUGCAACAUAGCGAUCAUAAUAUGACAUUGAAGGCAAUAUGUUUCAACUAGUAAAACAUAGUAAACCUAGACUAUGGACUUGCCAGGAUUCGGUCAUGACUCAUGCCACAUAAGCGAGGGAAAGUGCACAUCCACUGUACAGUGAAACAGGCUACAGUAACCUAACCAUAAUGCAUCCAUGAACGUAACACAGCACAGUGUGACACAGCACAGGCAAUGACAAAGAUCAUUAGCGCCAUUAGUACCAGCAUUACAAUUUACUACGAUAAUAUACAGCUCUGGGGGAAAAUUAAGAGAACACUCCAAAUUAAGAGACCACUCCAAAUUAAGAGAACACUCCAAAUUAAGAGACCACUCCAAAUUAAGAGACCACUCCAAAUUAAGAGAACACUCCAAAUUAAGAGAACACUACAAAUUAAGAGACCACUCCAAAUUAAGAGACCACUCCAAAUUAAGAGAACACUCCAAAUUAAGAGAACACUACAAAUUAAGAGACCACUCCAAAUUAAGAGAACACUCCAAAUUAAGAGAACACUCCAAAUUAAUAAGAGAACACUCCAAAUUAAGAGACCACUCCAAAUUAAGAGAACACUCCAAAUUAAGAGAACACUCCAAAUUAAGAGACCACUCCAAAUUAAGAGACCACUCCAAAUUAAGAGAACACUCCAAAUUAAGAGAACACUACAAAUUAAGAGACCACUCCAAAUUAAGAGACCACUCCAAAUUAAGAGAACACUCCAAAUUAAGAGAACACUACAAAUUAAGAGACCACUCCAAAUUAAGAGAACACUCCAAAUUAAGAGAACACUCCAAAUUAAUAAGAGAACACUCCAAAUUAAGAGACCACUCCAAAUUAAGAGAACACUCCAAAUUAAGAGACCACUCCAAAUUAAUAAGAGAACACUCCAAAUUAAGAGACCACUCCAAAUUAAGAGAACACUCCAAAUUAAGAGACCACUCCAAAUUAAGAGAACACUCCAAAUUAAGAGAACACUCCAAAUUAAGAGACCACUCCAAAUUAAGAGACCACUCCAAAUUAAGAGAACACUCCAAAUUAAGAGAACACUACAAAUUAAGAGACCACUCCAAAUUAAGAGAACACUCCAAAUUAAGAGAACACUCCAAAUUAAUAAGAGAACACUCCAAAUUAAGAGACCACUCCAAAUUAAGAGACCACUCCAAAUUAAGAGAACACUCCAAAUUAAGAGACCACUCCAAAUUAAGAGACCACUCCAAAUUAAGAGAACACUCCAAAUUAAGAGACCACUCCAAAUUAAGAGAACACUCCAAAUUAAGAGACCACUCCAAAUUAAGAGGCCACUCCAAAUUAAGAGAACACUCCAAAUUAAGAGACCACUCCAAAUUAAGAGGCCACUCCAAAUUAAGAGAACACUCCAAAUUAAGAGAACACUCCAAAUUAAGAGACCACUCCAAAUUAAGAGAACACUCCAAAUUAAGAGAACACUCCAAAUUAAGAGACCACUCCAAAUUAAGAGACCAUUCUUAAUUUUUCCCAGAGCUGUAUUAAUGUACUGAUACACUAAUGAUAGUAUGAUAAUAGAGUAUUUUCUUUGUAAAGGUGGAGGAAGGAAGCAGCAGCAGCACUAGAGCUUCAGGUGCUCCUGCAGAACUGGAGGAGGUGGUCAGUUCAGAGUCAGACUCAGAGCAGGAACCUUCAGCUACAAUUUAAGAGCACAAACCUAAACAUGUAGGCUAUGAUUGUAGAUUAAUAUGUGCUUUAUUUAUGAGAUUAUCAGUAGGACUGUAAUCGGGGGCCAUACCUUGUACAUUUGUAUGUGCUAUGAUUGGUGUAUUCCUAGAGAGUUUAUGAGGGGGCACCCAUAGCCAUAGCAUACCUUGAAAACUCAGUGUUCAGAUAGGCUACUAGUUGGUCAGUCCCAAAUGUUUGCAUUUUGUCAUGUGGGUAACUUUCUUCUGAAUUAUUGUUUCAGUCCGCCCCUGAACCCCACCACCUAACAACCCCACCCACCUAACAACCCCACCACCUAACAACCCUACCCACCUAACAACCCACCCACCUAACAACCCCACCACCUAACAACCCUACCCACCUAACAACCCUACCCACCUAACAACCCACCCACCUAACAACCCCACCCACCUAACAACCCCACUCACCUAACAACCCCACCACCUAACAACCCCACCCACCUAACAACCCCACCCAACUGCCUAACAACCUACCUAACAACCCCACCCACCUAUCUAACAACCCCACCCACUUACCUAACAUCCCACCUAAAACCCACCCACCCACCCACCUAACAACCCCACCCACCUACCUAACAACCACACCCACCUACCUAACAACCCCUCCCACCUAUCUAACAACCCCACCCACUUACCUAACAACCCACCUAACAACCCCACCCAACCACCUAACAACCCCACCCACUUACCUAACAUCCCACCUAACAACCCAACCCACCCACCUAACAACCCCACCCACCUACCUAACAACCCCACCCACCUUCCUAACAACCACACACACUUACCUAACAACCCACCUAACAACCCCACCCACCUACCUAACAACCACACCAACCUUCCUAACAACCCCACAAACUUACCUAACAACCUACCUAACAACUCCACACACUUACCUAACAACCCCACCCACCCACCUAUCAACCCCACCCACCUACCUAACAACCCCAAACAAUCCUACCCACAUACCUAAUAACCCCACCCACCUAACAACCCCACCCACCUACCAAACCCCAGGGUUUGGCCGGCAGGGAUAUCCUUGUCUUAUCGCGCACUAGCGACUCCUGUGGCGGGGCGCAGUGCAUUUUGACCAGGUGGCCAGGUGUACGGUGUUUCCUCCGACACAUUGGAGGACGCACAUAUAGGUUGGAUGUGCGUUGUGUCAAGAAGCAGUGCGGCUAGGUUGGGUUGUGUUUCGGAGGACGCAUGGCUCUCGACCUCCGUACGGGAUUUGCAGCGAUGAGACAAGACUGUAACUACCAAUUGGAUACCACGAAAUUGAGUAGAAAAAAGGGGUAAAAAAGAAUCAUCAAAAAUAACAACCCACCUACCUAACAACCCAACAAUCUAACAACCCCACCAACCUACCUAACAACCCAACAAUCUAACAACCCCACCAACCUACCUAACAACCCACCUUCCUAACAACCCACCUUGCUAACAACCCACCUUCCUAACAACCCACCUUGCUAACAACCCACCUUGCUAACAACCCACCUUCCUAACAACCCACCUUCCUAACAACCCACCUACCUAACAACCCACCUUCCUAACAACCCACCUUCCUAACAACCCACUUACCUAACAACCCACCUACCUAACAACCCACCUCCCUAACAACCCACCUUCCUAACAACCCACCUACCUAACAACCCACCUACCUAACAACCCACCUUCCUAACAACCCACCUUCCUAACAACCCACCUACCUAACAACCCACCUACCUAACAACCCACCUACCUAACAACCCACCUUCCUAACAACCCACCUACCUAACAACCCACCUUCCUAACAACCCACCUACCUAACAACCCACCUUCCUAACAACCCACCUAUCUAACAACCCACCUUCCUAACAAACCAACAAUCUAACAACCCCACCCACCUACCUGACAACCCACCUUCCAAACAACCCACCUACCUAACACACCAACAAUCUAACAACCCCACCAACCUACAUAACAACCCACCUUCCUAACAACCCAACAAUCUAACAACCCCACCCACCGACCUGACAACCCACCUUGCGAACAACCCACCUUCCUAACAACCCAACCAUCUAACAACCCCACCCACCUACCUGACAACCCACCUUGCGAACAACCCACCUACCUAACAACCCAACCACCUAACAACACCACCCUGAUAUCUAUAGGCACAGAACUCCUCUCUUCUGAUCGCCAGUCCACAGAGGUUCACCAGGCAUGAUUUCCCUCACAGAGCGUGCAUCUCGCUGGCCCUGGCAUGUGGAGCCCUCACAAAGAACUGCAUGCCAAAGCUAUGAACAGCACACAGCAAAAAGAGAGAUCUACUGAAUCAUCAAAUGGAGGAGAUGGCCUCAUAAAAAUGGGAAAUACAGACCACAUUCAAUAAAUGGAAAUAUAUACAUUGGGCAAGAUUGUACAUAAAAGAGGAACAAGAGUCCAGCUUCUGAAUUAUAACAUAUUAUAACAUAUCAUUUCUGCUUUGGGUUUAUUUUAAGCAUGUUGUAUAGCGGGUGUUUAUGGUAAUGUUAAUGAAAGAAAACAGGUCCAAAAUGCUAUGGAUAACCAGAGAAUGUAAUGAUCUACCUAUUAGGUGUUCAGCAAAGUUAUCACGUGGAAUGUUUGGAUGUUGUCACACACAGAGCACUUUCCCCAUAGUCUGUUCCUCUCUCUCACAGUGCUGCAGACAUACACACAGUGUGUCCCUGCAGACUAGUUCCACCUGUUGGAUCAGGUGGUGUCACUAUUUAACAGUCCUCAUCAACACCCACUAUACUGGCUGGCUUGUGCUCUCAUAAACUCUUACUAGAAAUCAAGUUCAUCUCUGCUGGUACGCUGCAUGUAUUCACACUAUAGUGGAGUGGGCUUAUAAUUCUAUAAGGGAGUCCCAAAUCCGCAAGAUAAAAUAUGCUGCUAAAGAAAAGGUGCAUGUCAACAAACAAAAUAUCUACAUUUUUUAUUUCUAUGCAAAGAAAGAUGUUGCACAAACAUAUGGGGUUAUUACAUGAAAUAAUGAUAUCAGUAUAAACAUGGAAUAAAAAAACUCUCCGAAUCAGCCAACAUUUUGUAUUCAGCUAUUCCCACAUCUCAUUUCAUUUCGCUUCGAAGUUACUGAAAUAAAGAAUGACGAUGUGCAUAAUUGAAUCAACAUGUCCAAGUGAAAAGCGAAAGAGCAUCCUUUUACAUUUAUGGAAGCGAAGAAAAUCUAUAUUUUGUUUUGUUUUUCAAUCUAAUCUAAAUGACUAUUCCAAAUCUGACAUACUGUAUGUGCCGAGGCCUCAACAGGUUACUUUACCAGGACUUUAGUUUCCAGCUCAGCUGACAGACAGUUGGUUUGUUCCAAGUGCUGCCAUAGCACUGGCAUUGUGUAAAACUCCAUGUUUAGUCAUCAUCUCGUGUCCCUAUCAACACUGCAUCAUUGUACAGUUGGACCGACGAAUAAACGACUGAAAUAUUUUA